GGGUUGUGAGGUUAAGCGACUAAGCGUACACGGUGGAUGCCCUGGCAGUCAGAGGCGAUGAAGGACGUGCUAAUCUGCGAUAAGCGUCGGUAAGGUGAUAUGAACCGUUAUAACCGGCGAUUUCCGAAUGGGGAAACCCAGUGUGAUUCGUCACACUAUCAUUAACUGAAUCCAUAGGUUAAUGAGGCGAACCGGGGGAACUGAAACAUCUAAGUACCCCGAGGAAAAGAAAUCAACCGAGAUUCCCCCAGUAGCGGCGAGCGAACGGGGAGCAGCCCAGAGCCUGAAUCAGUGUGUGUGUUAGUGGAAGCGUCUGGAAAGGCGCGCGAUACAGGGUGACAGCCCCGUACACAAAAAUGCACAUGCUGUGAGCUCGAUGAGUAGGGCGGGACACGUGGUAUCCUGUCUGAAUAUGGGGGGACCAUCCUCCAAGGCUAAAUACUCCUGACUGACCGAUAGUGAACCAGUACCGUGAGGGAAAGGCGAAAAGAACCCCGGCGAGGGGAGUGAAAAAGAACCUGAAACCGUGUACGUACAAGCAGUGGGAGCACGCUUAGGCGUGUGACUGCGUACCUUUUGUAUAAUGGGUCAGCGACUUAUAUUCUGUAGCAAGGUUAACCGAAUAGGGGAGCCGAAGGGAAACCGAGUCUUAACUGGGCGUUAAGUUGCAGGGUAUAGACCCGAAACCCGGUGAUCUAGCCAUGGGCAGGUUGAAGGUUGGGUAACACUAACUGGAGGACCGAACCGACUAAUGUUGAAAAAUUAGCGGAUGACUUGUGGCUGGGGGUGAAAGGCCAAUCAAACCGGGAGAUAGCUGGUUCUCCCCGAAAGCUAUUUAGGUAGCGCCUCGUGAAUUCAUCUCCGGGGGUAGAGCACUGUUUCGGCAAGGGGGUCAUCCCGACUUACCAACCCGAUGCAAACUGCGAAUACCGGAGAAUGUUAUCACGGGAGACACACGGCGGGUGCUAACGUCCGUCGUGAAGAGGGAAACAACCCAGACCGCCAGCUAAGGUCCCAAAGUCAUGGUUAAGUGGGAAACGAUGUGGGAAGGCCCAGACAGCCAGGAUGUUGGCUUAGAAGCAGCCAUCAUUUAAAGAAAGCGUAAUAGCUCACUGGUCGAGUCGGCCUGCGCGGAAGAUGUAACGGGGCUAAACCAUGCACCGAAGCUGCGGCAGCGACGCUUAUGCGUUGUUGGGUAGGGGAGCGUUCUGUAAGCCUGUGAAGGUGUACUGUGAGGUAUGCUGGAGGUAUCAGAAGUGCGAAUGCUGACAUAAGUAACGAUAAAGCGGGUGAAAAGCCCGCUCGCCGGAAGACCAAGGGUUCCUGUCCAACGUUAAUCGGGGCAGGGUGAGUCGACCCCUAAGGCGAGGCCGAAAGGCGUAGUCGAUGGGAAACAGGUUAAUAUUCCUGUACUUGGUGUUACUGCGAAGGGGGGACGGAGAAGGCUAUGUUGGCCGGGCGACGGUUGUCCCGGUUUAAGCGUGUAGGCUGGUUUUCCAGGCAAAUCCGGAAAAUCAAGGCUGAGGCGUGAUGACGAGGCACUACGGUGCUGAAGCAACAAAUGCCCUGCUUCCAGGAAAAGCCUCUAAGCAUCAGGUAACAUCAAAUCGUACCCCAAACCGACACAGGUGGUCAGGUAGAGAAUACCAAGGCGCUUGAGAGAACUCGGGUGAAGGAACUAGGCAAAAUGGUGCCGUAACUUCGGGAGAAGGCACGCUGAUAUGUAGGUGAAGCGACUUGCUCGUGGAGCUGAAAUCAGUCGAAGAUACCAGCUGGCUGCAACUGUUUAUUAAAAACACAGCACUGUGCAAACACGAAAGUGGACGUAUACGGUGUGACGCCUGCCCGGUGCCGGAAGGUUAAUUGAUGGGGUCAGCGCAAGCGAAGCUCUUGAUCGAAGCCCCGGUAAACGGCGGCCGUAACUAUAACGGUCCUAAGGUAGCGAAAUUCCUUGUCGGGUAAGUUCCGACCUGCACGAAUGGCGUAAUGAUGGCCAGGCUGUCUCCACCCGAGACUCAGUGAAAUUGAACUCGCUGUGAAGAUGCAGUGUACCCGCGGCAAGACGGAAAGACCCCGUGAACCUUUACUAUAGCUUGACACUGAACAUUGAGCCUUGAUGUGUAGGAUAGGUGGGAGGCUUUGAAGUGUGGACGCCAGUCUGCAUGGAGCCGACCUUGAAAUACCACCCUUUAAUGUUUGAUGUUCUAACGUUGACCCGUAAUCCGGGUUGCGGACAGUGUCUGGUGGGUAGUUUGACUGGGGCGGUCUCCUCCUAAAGAGUAACGGAGGAGCACGAAGGUUGGCUAAUCCUGGUCGGACAUCAGGAGGUUAGUGCAAUGGCAUAAGCCAGCUUGACUGCGAGCGUGACGGCGCGAGCAGGUGCGAAAGCAGGUCAUAGUGAUCCGGUGGUUCUGAAUGGAAGGGCCAUCGCUCAACGGAUAAAAGGUACUCCGGGGAUAACAGGCUGAUACCGCCCAAGAGUUCAUAUCGACGGCGGUGUUUGGCACCUCGAUGUCGGCUCAUCACAUCCUGGGGCUGAAGUAGGUCCCAAGGGUAUGGCUGUUCGCCAUUUAAAGUGGUACGCGAGCUGGGUUUAGAACGUCGUGAGACAGUUCGGUCCCUAUCUGCCGUGGGCGCUGGAGAACUGAGGGGGGCUGCUCCUAGUACGAGAGGACCGGAGUGGACGCAUCACUGGUGUUCGGGUUGUCAUGCCAAUGGCACUGCCCGGUAGCUAAAUGCGGAAGAGAUAAGUGCUGAAAGCAUCUAAGCACGAAACUUGCCCCGAGAUGAGUUCUCCCUGACCCUUUAAGGGUCCUGAAGGAACGUUGAAGACGACGACGUUGAUAGGCCGGGUGUGUAAGCGCAGCGAUGCGUUGAGCUAACCGGUACUAAUGAACCGUGAGGCUUAACCUUACAACGCCGAAGCUGUU
rnacentral:rRNA from 1 species